rnacentral:tRNA from 1 species
GGCCGUGUGGCGCAAUGGCUAGCGCACCAGCCUUCUAAGCUGGGGGUUGUGGGUUCGACCCCCACCUCGGUCG